rnacentral:rRNA from 1 species
GGAAGUAAAAGUCGUAACAAGGUUUCCGUAGGUGAACCUGCGGAAGGAUCAUUGUCGAUACCUGUACAACAGAAAGACCCGUGAACACAUUAUAAUAAACCCGCGGGGACUAGGGGUGCCAACGCACCCUUGGUCCCCUGUGGCUAAGGGUGUGCAACCUUUGGUUGUCAUCCCCGGCUAGAAAACAAACCCCGGCGCAAAACGCGUCAAGGAAUAAAGAAACAAAACAGCCAAAGCCAUUGCUGCCCCGGAGACGGUGCGCUGCUAUGGCUGGUGGCUUCAUAUCAAAAUGACUCUCGGCAACGGAUAUCUCGGCUCUCGCAUCGAUGAAGAACGUAGCGAAAUGCGAUACUUGGUGUGAAUUGCAGAAUCCCGUGAACCAUCGAGUCUUUGAACGCAAGUUGCGCCCGAAGCCAUUUGGCUAAGGGCACGUCUGCCUGGGCGUCUCAUAAAUAGUUAAACCCCCAAACCACACGACAAACCUUUUGGUAAGUGUGACUGGAUUGAUGGGGUGGAAGAUGGCCUCCCAUGAGCUUUGGCUCGUGGUUGGCUCAAAACCAGGUCCUUGGUCACGUCAACGUGGCAGUAGGUGGUUUUCGAUUGGUCGGUACCCCGUCACGUGCAUUGACCAUGCAUCAGGACCUUAGUAUAGACCCUAGCUGAACGAAUCAUGGAUGAGACCCCAGGUCAGGCGGGGCUACCCGCUGAGUUUAAGCAUAUCAAUAAGCGGAGGA